UUAUCUCAAAUUUGCAUGGAGUUGGAAGGUUUUCUUAAGUUUGCUGCUAGGGACGCCGUUCCAACUGCAUACAAAUUUGAGUUA
rfam:Bombyx mori DNA, contig: Bm_scaf80_contig32801, strain: p50T/Dazao, build 2, whole genome shotgun sequence.